rnacentral:lncRNA from 1 species
CUCUUCCAUUUUCCUCGUCCAACUCCUUUUUCCUUUUCUUCUCGAUCACAAAUAUACACAGUUCACAUGCAAACCAAUUUUCCAUCAGACCAAACAAAACCCACCACCUGCCUCAUCAAUCCAACAAAAUUCCCAAACUUUCCCACCCUAAAAUUUGACAAUUCCAUUCAAAUUAAACAAAAGUUAGAGCUGAAAAUUUGAGCAAAGAAAGAAAGAGAGAGAGAGGGGGAGGGAGAGUAAACGGAUCACCAAUAGUAGGAGGCGGCGACGCCGUAUAGCUUGAGGACGAGCAGUAGCGUAAAGGAGAAGAGGAGGAUGUGGGCCGCUAAGGCCUGCACGGACUUCAACACUCUCCGCUAGUUCAUCAUCACCGUAAAAUGAUGUCGUCCGCUGCGAAAGUCGAGACUUCAGAUUGUGAGAAAUCUCAGGAGGAGGUUGCUGUUUCAGUAUGCGCCAUUGAAACUAAAGAGGCAAGAAAUAUUCUUUCUCUCCUUCAUCUUUUUCGUCGUUCGGGUUGACCCAGAUGGCAAAAAAUCCCAAAUCACCGACCCAGAUGCCAAAAGGGCGCUGGGUUUGCAAGACGAUGGAGAUUGGCGACAACCGUUUUUGGUUUGGUCACUGGAGAAGGGGGGUUGAUGCUGCUCAUGUGGGUUCGUAGGAUGCUGCUUGCAGACGAGGGAGACGGGACUAGCAAUCCCGUUGUUUUUGGGGGGCCUCGCAAAGACCUCCUAGUGAGGGAUUUAGUCGAGGCAAGUCCUCCUUUGUCCUAUUUAACUUGGUCCCGCCAGUGAACAAACACGGAUUGCACUAACUUUUAACUUAAGCCAGUCCAGUGAGAGCUAAAG